AGCGGUAGGGAAUCUUCGGCAAUGGACGAAAGUCUGACCGAGCAACGCCGCGUGAGUGAAGAAGGUUUUCGGAUCGUAAAACUCUGUUGGUAGAGAAGAACGUUGGUGAGAGUGGAAAGCUCAUCAAGUGACGGUAACUACCCAGAAAGGGACGGCUAACUACGUGCCAG
rnacentral:rRNA from 1 species